rnacentral:misc_RNA from 1 species
AACGCACAUUGCACUCUCUGGUAUUCCGGAGAGUAUGCUUGUUUGAGUAUCUGUAAACAUCUCAAAUCUCCCAGCGCUUGCGCAAAAGAGAAUUGGAUUUGAGCGAUCCCGACUCCUUCGUCAGAAAGAGGAGGGCCGCUUGAAAUGCAGGUGCAGCUGGACAUUCUUCUGAGCUAAAAGCAUAUCUAUUUAGUCCCUUCAAACGGAUUAUUACUUUUGCUUCAGCUAAUAUAAAGGUCGAAUGGACAACCAACGCUGAUUGCAGGAAAACUCGUUCUUAACCGAACUUGUGAACUCGAUCUCAAAUCAAGUAAGACUACCCGCUGAACUUAA